CCCAAGACCUGUGAGGUCAUGUGGUUUCAGAGACAUAAGCUAAGCUUGGUAUAUAUUACAGAGAAGCCAUCCCAUCCGGGCGCGACCACUCUGAAGAUCUACCUCCUGAGUAAAAACAUGAAAGGAAAAGCAAGUUCAACUCCUUGGCAGAGAAGAGAUAAAUUCUUGAUUAUGAUUCUACCAGACUCUACUGAGCCGAGAGAAAACUGAGGAUAAAAAAGAAACUGGUGGUAAAAUUAGGAAGAAGCAAUGGAUGCUUGGAACACUGAGACACAGUAAAUCUUUACAAUGAGUGCUGAGGACAGGCACGUGACCCAAGCUAGGCCAGUUGGAUGCUCCCUCAGUGGAAUUUAAUUCUUGAGUAGGGGAACAAGGAAAUUGAAAACAAUCAGUGUUCAUUGCAUUCAGCACAGCCUCCUGACACUUUGGCCCUGCUGUGCACAGAUGUUGUGGUCUCUGAUACCUUGUCUCCAGGGCUGCUUUCUUUUCCUUUACUUCCUAGCCUGGUAUUCUGGCCUCUCAUUGAUUCUGUGAGCUCCUGAUCCUUUCCAAUAAAUUACCAUUAGCCUAAGUCAGGCUUAAUUUCUGUUGCUUGAAACAAAGGAGCCCUAAUACCUGCUCUAACCUGUCUUGUAAAGGUAGACCAUGCUAUGAAAUCCGUUAUCUUCCUCUAUUCUCUUUCAUGCACAUAUGUAUGUAUGUAUGUGUGUAUGUAUGUAGUAUGUAUGCUAGUGCACCCAGAACAGCUCUUUUAUCAUAUUAUAUCAGUUUUUAAAAAAUCAUUUACGGCCGGGCACGGUGGCUCACGCCUGUAAUCCCAGCACUCUGGGAGGCCAAGGUGGGCAGAUCACCUGAGG
rnacentral:lncRNA from 1 species